rnacentral:rRNA from 1 species
AACGUGGAGGGGCUAUUCGAAACUGCCGUGACUCGAGUCCGGUAGGGGAGUGUGGAAUUCCCGGUGUAGCGGUGAAAUGCGCAGAUAUCGGGAGGAACACCAGUAGCGAAGGCGGCACUCUGGGCCGGUACUGACGCUGAGGAGCGAAAGCGUGGGGAGCGAACAGGAUUAGAUACCCUGGUAGUCCACGCCGUAAACGUUGGGCACUAGGUGUGGGACCCUAUCGACGGGUUCCGUGCCGUAGCUAACGCAUUAAGUGCCCCGCCUGGGGAGUACGGCCGCAAGGCUAAAACUCAAAGGAAUUGACGGGGGCCCGCACAAGCGGCGGAGCGUGUGGCUUAAUUCGAUGCAACGCGAAGAACCUUACCUGGGCUUGACAUUUUCGGUAAAGCGGGUGAAAGCCCGUGUGCUUCGGCGCCGAAAACAGGUGGUG